CUCGUCAGCCGUGGUAGGCAGUCUGCCUAGGAGAGCAAACUCCGAACAACAAACCCGGGCAGGUGGAGCUCGUUAGCCGUGGUAGGCAGUCUGCCUAGGAGAGCAAACUCCGAACAACAAACCCGGGCAGGUGGAGCUCGUCAGCCGUGGUAGGCAGUCUGCCUAGGAGAGCAAACUCCGAACAACAAACCCGGGCAGGUGGAGCUCGUUAGCCGUGGUAGGCAAUUCACCUAGGAGAGCAAACUCCGAACAACAAACCCGGGCAGGUGGAGCUCGUUAGCCGUGGUAGGCAGUCUGCCUAGGAGAGCAAACUCCGAACAACAAACCCGGGCAGGUGGAGCUCGUUAGCCGUGGUAGGCAGUCUGCCUAGGAGAGCAAACUCCGAACAACAAACCCGGGCAGGUGGAGCUCGUUAGCCGUGGUAGGCAGUCUGCCUAGGAGAGCAAACUCCGAACAACAAACCCGGGCAGGUGGAGCUCGUUAGCCGUGGUAGGCAGUCUGCCUAGGAGAGCAAACUCUAAACAAACCCGGGCAGGUGGAGCUCGUUAGCUGUGGUAGGCAGUCUGCCUAGGAGAGGGACAACUCCGAAUAACAAACCCGGGCAGGUUGGGCUCGUGAGCCGUCAUAGGCAAUACACCUAGGAGAGCAAACUCCGAACAAGAAACACGGGCAGGUGGAGCUCGUCAGCCGUGGCAAGCAGUUCAUCUAGGAGAGGGACAACUCCGAACAAGAAACACGGGCAGGUGGAGCUCGUCAGCUCUGGCAGGCAGUUCAUCUAGGAGAGGGACAACUCCGAACAAGAAACACGGGCAGGUGGAGCUCGUCAGCCGUGGCAGGCAGUCUGCCUAGGAGAGCAAACUCCGAACAACAAACCCGGGCGGUGGAGCUCGUUAGACGUCGUAGACAUCCACGUGAUGGGAACACCAAAAUGAAAAUGAAAAUGAAAAUAAACACCAGAAUAAAGAAAAUGUAGAAAUGAGACAUCAAGAAAACAAAAUAAGAAACAGAUCAUCCACCUUUCGGCCCUAACUAACAUCACCAAAAUUAUGGGUGGGUCUUUUCUGGGGAGAAAGAGGCUCAUCCAGACCAAAGAACAUCAAACAGGGAUGACAUAGAAAAGAUAAAAGAACAACAUGAAGAAAAGAAGAAAAAAAUAUCAUCCACCUUUCGGUCCCAAGUAACAUCACAAAAUCGUGGGUGGGUCUCUUCUGGGGAGAAAGAGGCUCAGCCAGACCAAAGAACAUCAAAAGGGAUGAUACAGAAAAGAUAAAACAACAACAACAAGAAAAGAA